GAAGCUACCAAUUAUUUCAAAUAAUAAUGCGUAUUUUUAAAAUGUAGUAUUUUGUAAAGUAUUUAUUUAUUUUAGACUAAAAUAUCGCAGUUUUUAAUGUUAUGCUAGCUUGAAGAUUGCAUACCAAUUGCGCGAUAGAGCACAAGUCCCGGGAAACACUGUAGGACGGUCACCGCCGAUUGAAACUGAACCGUUGGAUCGUGAAAUAAGUAUUACAAUAGCCGCUGAGAGAAUCUGAGCCGUGUGAUUAGGGAUCUGCUUUAGGCAGAUCUUGACCAUACACGUCGGUAUCAUCGGUGGCUUUCUUCGUUGAUGACCUCACGUGGAGGGAAAGUGUGGGUCCCAGUCAAUUCCGUCAUUGUAGAUCUUGACAGGUGUCAUCACACCAGCCAUUCAUCGUUGUCGUGAGGUUUUCCAAGAAUAGGAUUGGUCGGUCUUUCAUGCAU